CACGUAGGGUGCGAGCGUUGUCCGGAAUUAUUGGGCGUAAAGAGCUCGUAGGCGGUGUGUCGCGUCGGCCGUGAAAACCCGCGGCUUAACCGCGGGCCUGCAGUUGAUACGGGCAGGCUAGAGUUCGGUAGGGGAGACUGGAAUUCCUGGUGUAGCGGUGAAAUGCGCAGAUAUCAGGAGGAACACCGGUGGCGAAGGCGGGUCUCUGGGCCGAUACUGACGCUGAGGAGCGAAAGCGUGGGGAGCGAACAGG
rnacentral:rRNA from 1 species